UACGGGGGGGCGAGCGUUGUUCGGAAUCAUUGGGCGUAAAGGGUGCGUAGGUGGUGCUGUAAGUCUGACGUGAAAUCUCUGGGCUUAACCCAGAAUCCGCGCCAGGAACUGCAGUGCUGGAGUGUGGGAGAGGAGAGUGGAAUUCCCGGUGUAGCGGUGAAAUGCGUAGAUAUCGGGAUGAACACCCGUGGCGAAGGCGGCUCUCUGGACCAUAACUGACACUGAGGCACGAAAGCCGGGGGAGCAAACAGG
rnacentral:rRNA from 1 species